GAUGGCCUACGUCCAGUUGGUAGAGCAUGAGACUCUUACUCUCAGGGUUGUGAGUUCAGAGGGUUGGACUAGGGGACCCUCAUUGUCACUUCCA